UGGGGAAUAUUGCACAAUGGGCGAAAGCCUGAUGCAGCAACGCCGCGUGAGUGAUGAAGGCCUUCGGGUUGUAAAUCUCUGUCUUCUGGGACGAUAAUGACGGUACCAGAGGAGGAAGCCACGGCUAACUACGUGCCAGCAGCCGCGGUAAUACGUAGGUGGCAAGCGUUGUCCGGAUUUACUGGGCGUAAAGGAUGCGUAGGCGGAUACUUAAGUCAGAUGUGAAAAUCCCGGGCUUAACUUGGGAACUGCAUUUGAAACUGGGUAUCUAGAGUGCGGGAGAGGAGAGUGGAAUUCCUAGUGUAGCGGUGAAAUGCGUAGAGGUUAGGAAGAACACCAGUGGCGAAGGCGACUUUCUGGACCGUAACUGACGCUGAGGCAUGAAAGCGUGGGGAGCAAACA
rnacentral:rRNA from 1 species